rnacentral:tRNA from 2 species
GGGCCGUUAGCUCAGCGGUAGAGCACCUCAUUUGCAAUGAGGGGGUCGCCGGUUCAAGUCCGGCACGGUCCA